rnacentral:rRNA from 1 species
AAAUUGAAGAGUUUGAUCAUGGCUCAGAUUGAACGCUGGCGGCAGGCCUAACACAUGCAAGUCGAACGGUAACAGGAAGAAGCUUGCUUUUUUGCUGACGAGUGGCGGACGGGUGAGUAAUGUCUGGGAAACUGCCUGAUGGAGGGGGAUAACUACUGGAAACGGUAGCUAAUACCGCAUAAUGUCGCAAGACCAAAGAGGGGGACCUUAGGGCCUCUUGCCAUCGGAUGUGCCCAGAUGGGAUUAGCUAGUAGGUGGGGUAACGGCUCACCUAGGCGACGAUCCCUAGCUGGUCUGAGAGGAUGACCAGCCACACUGGAACUGAGACACGGUCCAGACUCCUACGGGAGGCAGCAGUGGGGAAUAUUGCACAAUGGGCGCAAGCCUGAUGCAGCCAUGCCGCGUGUAUGAAGAAGGCCUUCGGGUUGUAAAGUACUUUCAGCGGGGAGGAAGGGAGUAAAGUUAAUACCUUUGCUCAUUGACGUUACCCGCAGAAGAAGCACCGGCUAACUCCGUGCCAGCAGCCGCGGUAAUACGGAGGGUGCAAGCGUUAAUCGGAAUUACUGGGCGUAAAGCGCACGCAGGCGGUUUGUUAAGUCAGAUGUGAAAUCCCCGGGCUCAACCUGGGAACUGCAUCUGAUACUGGCAAGCUUGAGUCUCGUAGAGGGGGGUAGAAUUCCAGGUGUAGCGGUGAAAUGCGUAGAGAUCUGGAGGAAUACCGGUGGCGAAGGCGGCCCCCUGGACGAAGACUGACGCUCAGGUGCGAAAGCGUGGGGAGCAAACAGGAUUAGAUACCCUGGUAGUCCACGCCGUAAACGAUGUCGACUUGGAGGUUGUGCCCUUGAGGCGUGGCUUCCGGAGCUAACGCGUUAAGUCGACCGCCUGGGGAGUACGGCCGCAAGGUUAAAACUCAAAUGAAUUGACGGGGGCCCGCACAAGCGGUGGAGCAUGUGGUUUAAUUCGAUGCAACGCGAAGAACCUUACCUGGUCUUGACAUCCACGGAAGUUUUCAGAGAUGAGAAUGUGCCUUCGGGAACCGUGAGACAGGUGCUGCAUGGCUGUCGUCAGCUCGUGUUGUGAAAUGUUGGGUUAAGUCCCGCAACGAGCGCAACCCUUAUCCUUUGUUGCCAGCGGUCCGGCCGGGAACUCAAAGGAGACUGCCAGUGAUAAACUGGAGGAAGGUGGGGAUGACGUCAAGUCAUCAUGGCCCUUACGACCAGGGCUACACACGUGCUACAAUGGCGCAUACAAAGAGAAGCGACCUCGCGAGAGCAAGCGGACCUCAUAAAGUGCGUCGUAGUCCGGAUUGGAGUCUGCAACUCGACUCCAUGAAGUCGGAAUCGCUAGUAAUCGUGGAUCAGAAUGCCACGGUGAAUACGUUCCCGGGCCUUGUACACACCGCCCGUCACACCAUGGGAGUGGGUUGCAAAAGAAGUAGGUAGCUUAACCUUCGGGAGGGCGCUUACCACUUUGUGAUUCAUGACUGGGGUGAAGUCGUAACAAGGUAACCGUAGGGGAACCUGCGGUUGGAUCACCUCCUUA